rnacentral:rRNA from 1 species
AGCGAACGCUGGCGGCAGGCUUAACACAUGCAAGUCGAGCGGGCAUCCUUGUGGUGUCAGCGGCAGACGGGUGAGUAACGCGUGGGAACGUGCCCUUCGGUUCGGAAUAACUCAGGGAAACUUGAGCUAAUACCGGAUACGUGCGAGAGCAGAAAGGUUUAUCUGCCGAAGGAUCGGCCCGCGUCUGAUUAGCUAGUUGGUGAGGUUACGGCUCACCAAGGCGACGAUCAGUAGCUGGUCUGAGAGGAUGAUCAGCCACCCUGGGACUGAGACACGGCCCAGACUCCUACGGGAAGCAGCAGUGGGGAAUAUUGGACAAUGGGGGCAACCCUGAUCCAGCCAUGCCGCGUGAGUGAUGACGGCCUUAGGGUUGUAAAGCUCUUUUCUCCGGGACGAUAAUGACGGUACCGGAGGAAUAAGCCCCGGCUAACUUCGUG